rnacentral:rRNA from 1 species
CGGAGCGUGUGGUUUAAUUCGAUGCUACACGAAGAACCUUACCACGGGUUGUACAUACAAGUAGUAGGGAGAGGAAACUGGACCGACCCUUCGGGAGCUUGAACAGGUGCUGCAUGGCUGUCGUCAGCUCGUGUCGUGAGAUGUUCGGUUAAGUCCGCUAACGAGCGCAACCCUCGCUGUGUGUUACAAGUGUCACACGGAACUGCCGGUCAUAAACCGGAGGAAGGUGGGGAUGACGUCAAGUCAGCAUGGCCUUUAUAUCCUGGGCUACACACACGCUACAAUGGGAAGGGACAAUAGGUUGCGAAACCGCGAGGUGGAGCCAAUCCAGCAAAACCUCCCUCAGUUCAGAUUGCAGGCUGCAACUCGCCUGCAUGAAGUUGGAGUUGCUAGUAAACGCAGGUCAGCCAUACUGCGUUGAAUACGUUCCCGGGGCUU